CCUGGCUCAGGAUGAACGCUAGCUACAGGCUUAACACAUGCAAGUCGAGGGGCAGCAUGGUCUUAGCUUGCUAAGACUGAUGGCGACCGGCGCACGGGUGAGUAACACGUAUCCAACCUGCCGUCUACUCUUGGACAGCCUUCUGAAAGGAAGAUUAAUACAAGAUGGCAUCAUGAGUCCGCAUGUUCACAUGAUUAAAGGUAUUCCGGUAGACGAUGGGGAUGCGUUCCAUUAGAUAGUAGGCGGGGUAACGGCCCACCUAGUCUUCGAUGGAUAGGGGUUCUGAGAGGAAGGUCCCCCACAUUGGAACUGAGACACGGUCCAAACUCCUACGGGAGGCAGCAGUGAGGAAUAUUGGUCAAUGGGCGAGAGCCUGAACCAGCCAAGUAGCGUGAAGGAUGACUGCCCUAUGGGUUGUAAACUUCUUUUAUAAAGGAAUAAAGUCGGGUAUGGAUACCCGUUUGCAUGUACUUUAUGAAUAAGGAUCGGCUAACUCCGUGCCAGCAGCCGCGGUAAUACGGAGGAUCCGAGCGCUAUCCGGAUUUAUUGGGUUUAAAGGGAGCGUAGAUGGAUGUUUAAGUCAGUUGUGAAAGUUUGCGGCUCAACCGUAAAAUUGCAGUUGAUACUGGAUAUCUUGAGUGCAGUUGAGGCAGGCGGAAUUCGUGGUGUAACGGUGAAAUGCUUAGAUAUCACGAAGAACUCCGAUUGCGAAGGCAGCCUGCUAAGCUGCAACUGACAUUGAGGCUCGAAAGUGUGGGUAUCAAACAGGAUUAGAUACCCUGGUAGUCCACACGGUAAACGAUGAAUACUCGCUGUUUGCGAUAUACUGCAAGCGGCCAAGCGAAAGCGUUAAGUAUUCCACCUGGGGAGUACGCCGGCAACGGUGAAACUCAAAGGAAUUGACGGGGGCCCGCACAAGCGGAGGAACAUGUGGUUUAAUUCGAUGAUACGCGAGGAACCUUACCCGGGCUUAAAUUGCAGAUGAAUUACGGUGAAAGCCGUAAGCCGCAAGGCAUCUGUGAAGGUGCUGCAUGGUUGUCGUCAGCUCGUGCCGUGAGGUGUCGGCUUAAGUGCCAUAACGAGCGCAACCCUUGUUGUCAGUUACUAACAGGUUCCGCUGAGGACUCUGACAAGACUGCCAUCGUAAGAUGUGAGGAAGGUGGGGAUGACGUCAAAUCAGCACGGCCCUUACGUCCGGGGCUACACACGUGUUACAAUGGGGGGUACAGAGGGCCGCUACCACGCGAGUGGAUGCCAAUCCCCAAAACCUCUCUCAGUUCGGACUGGAGUCUGCAACCCGACUCCACGAAGCUGGAUUCGCUAGUAAUCGCGCAUCAGCCACGGCGCGGUGAAUACGUUCCCGGGCCUUGUACACACCGCC
rnacentral:rRNA from 1 species